rnacentral:rRNA from 4 species
ACUUUCAACAACGGAUCUCUUGGUUCCCGCAUCGAUGAAGAACGCAGCGAAACGCGAUAGUUAAUGUGAAUUGCAGAAUUCAGUGAAUCAUCGAGUCUUUGAACGCAUAUUGCGCCCAUUGGUAUUCCAUUGGGCAUGUCUGUUU